rnacentral:rRNA from 1 species
GACGAACGCUGGCGGCGUGCUUAACACAUGCAAGUCGAGCGGGGAGAUCGCUUUCGGGCGAUCUUCUAGCGGCGGACGGGUGAGUAACGCGUGAGCAACCUUUCCUUCACUGGGGAAUAACACCGGGAAACUGGUACUAAUACCGCAUGAGACCACAGCAUCGCAUGGUGCAGGGGUCAAAGAUUUAUUGGUGAAGGGUGGGCUCGCGUCUGAUUAGGUAGUUGGUGAGGUAACGGCCCACCAAGCCGACGAUCAGUAGCCGGACCUGAGAGGGUGAACGGCCACAUUGGGACUGAGACACGGCCCAAACUCCUACGGGAGGCAGCAGUGGGGAAUAUUGGACAAUGGGGGAAACCCUGAUCCAGCGACGCCGCGUGAGUGAAGAAGUAUUUCGGUAUGUAAAGCUCUAUCAGCAGGGAAGAUAAUGACGGUACCUGUGGAGGAAGCCACGGCUAACUACGUG